rnacentral:rRNA from 1 species
AUGAACGCUAGCUACAGGCUUAACACAUGCAAGUCGAGGGGCAGCAUGGUCUUAGCUUGCUAAGGCCGAUGGCGACCGGCGCACGGGUGAGUAACACGUAUCCAACCUGCCGUCUACUCUUGGACAGCCUUCUGAAAGGAAGAUUAAUACAAGAUGGCAUCAUGAGUUCACAUGUUCACAUGAUUAAAGGUAUUCCGGUAGACGAUGGGGAUGCGUUCCAUUAGAUAGUAGGCGGGGUAACGGCCCACCUAGUCUUCGAUGGAUAGGGGUUCUGAGAGGAAGGUCCCCCACAUUGGAACUGAGACACGGUCCAAACUCCUACGGGAGGCAGCAGUGAGGAAUAUUGGUCAAUGGGCGCAGGCCUGAACCAGCCAAGUAGCGUGAAGGAUGACUGCCCUAUGGGUUGUAAACUUCUUUUAUAAAGGAAUAAAGUCGGGUAUGUAUACCCGUUUGCAUGUACUUUAUGAAUAAGGAUCGGCUAACUCCGUGCCAGCAGCCGCGGUAAUACGGAGGAUCCGAGCGUUAUCCGGAUUUAUUGGGUUUAAAGGGAGCGUAGAUGGAUGUUUAAGUCAGUUGUGAAAGUUUGCGGCUCAACCGUAAAAUUGCAGUUGAUACUGGAUAUCUUGAGUGCAGUUGAGGCAGGCGGAAUUCGUGGUGUAGCGGUGAAAUGCUUAGAUAUCACGAAGAACUCCGAUUGCGAAGGCAGCCUGCUAAGCUGCAACUGACAUUGAGGCUCGAAAGUGUGGGUAUCAAACAGGAUUAGAUACCCUGGUAGUCCACACGGUAAACGAUGAAUACUCGCUGUUUGCGAUAUACGGCAAGCGGCCAAGCGAAAGCGUUAAGUAUUCCACCUGGGGAGUACGCCGGCAACGGUGAAACUCAAAGGAAUUGACGGGGGCCCGCACAAGCGGAGGAACAUGUGGUUUAAUUCGAUGAUACGCGAGGAACCUUACCCGGGCUCAAACGCACGACGGCGGCACGUGAAAGCGUGCUUACCUACGGGACGUUGUGCGAGGUGCUGCAUGGUUGUCGUCAGCUCGUGCCGUGAGGUGUCGGCUUAAGUGCCAUAACGAGCGCAACCCUUGUUGUCAGUUACUAACAGGUUCCGCUGAGGACUCUGACAAGACUGCCAUCGUAAGAUGUGAGGAAGGUGGGGAUGACGUCAAAUCAGCACGGCCCUUACGUCCGGGGCUACACACGUGUUACAAUGGGGGGUACAGAGGGCCGCUACCACGCGAGUGGAUGCCAAUCCCCAAAACCUCUCUCAGUUCGGACUGGAGUCUGCAACCCGACUCCACGAAGCUGGAUUCGCUAGUAAUCGCGCAUCAGCCACGGCGCGGUGAAUACGUUCCCGGGCCUUGUACACACCGCCCGUCAAGCCAUGGGAGCCGGGGGUACCUGAAGUGCGUAACCGCGAGGAGCGCCCUAGGGUAAAACUGGUGACUGGGGCU